UAUUAUACUAUAUUAUAUAUUUAUGUAUUAAUAUAUAUUAUAUUUUAUUAUGCUCUAUUGUAUAAUACUAUGCAAUGUCCUUUAUGGUCAUUUUGUCAUACUAAAAGUAUUUUCUCAGUUUGUUUACCAAACACAUAUUAAAAUUUCGCAACACUUUAAAAAUGUAAUUACCAAACAACAAAUAGCUUUUUAUAAAAGCUUUAUUUCAAAAAGCUUUACUUUUCGAAAGCUCUACUUUUGAAAGCUCUAAAAGCUCUAAUGCCAACAGCAAUCCCAAACAUGGCCUUAGUUGCUUUAGCUUGCAAAAAUAAACAGGCAAUAGCCUGAGAAGAUAGCCAGAAUUUCCUAAGAUGAACACAUAUGCAGGAUAAUUAUUUCACGAGUGUCUAGGAAAGUGAGCAAAAAUAAAGCAAAGAAAAGUGAUAGAUCAACUCACUGUAUUCGCUUACUAUAGAUAACAACUUUCCAAUGACUGAAUUCAAACCAUGGAUAUUGCACUUAGCAACCAUGAUCAACUACAAAUGGAAUCUCUUGGAAGAUCUUGUAAAAGGAUUUUACAUGAAAAAAGUUAAUAAAUGACUUAAAUGAUCCUGGUAUCUUCGCUUAAAUGUUGCACUGAACAGUUUGUGCAGAGGGACACAGCUCUUAGUACGACAUUUCUGAGACAGCACAACAAGUGAAAAAGUUUAUAAUAUUCUCAUAACUAUCUCCUUGCUAGUUGACAAUACCUUAACAUUAGCCUGAAAGUCUUAUCCCAUAUAAAUGAUAUCAGUUUUGGAAAGUCUAUGAAAUUUUUGAUCAAAAAUUCCAAUCAGCUUUUGCUACAAUAAGUUAAAAUAACCUCUUGUCACUUAACUAAUUAAAAAGCUGGAGUACAAUAAUUAUCCAAAAUGGGAAAAAUAUUGAUUGUGUUUCAGUGCUUGUUGGUUUUGUAUUUCAAUUUGACACUCCAGCACUUAAGGUCUAAAAUGCGGGUACCACACCCCAUAACGAUUCAUACAGUUACCGAUAAGGAAAUCAUAUGGUAUUGAUACUGGUAUUUUAGACGUUGCUUUGAUCCAACUAAUUGACAGAAUGACUCACUGGUUGGCACCAUGAACGUGGAGGGAAAACACUACAUUCAACUUAACCUACGCUUAACAUCCCCAAGCCCCUAUCCGUACACACAGGCCCUCUAAGGAAAGAAGGAAAAAAAUCAAGAGCUAUAAGUAGAUUAUUUUUUCCUGACUUCCACAAAGUAGAAUUCCAAACCACCCAGAACAAUCAACAAUUUAGAACCCUUAACAACCAUGGAUUAAACAAUAAAAAAGAUACCACCACACUAAGGAUUCACCAACCACUCAAGUAUCAACCUGCACUCUGAACAAAAGGGCCCUCUUACACCAAAGCUUAAAAUGGAUCUUCCUUCAAAUACA
rnacentral:lncRNA from 1 species